rnacentral:lncRNA from 1 species
UUAUUUUCAAAGGAAAUAGAGAGAUUUUUUUUUGUCAAAAUUCUCCAGCCACACACUUGGCAAUACCUCAUUGGUCAGAAGCACAUACUCACAAUCACCUGUUGUCCUCUUCUUCAUGUGAUUCUUACAAACUCAUAUUUCAUGGCUAAAAAAUAAUCAAAGAGGAUUAGUGGUGAUAGCCGUUGCCAAGUAGACAUAUAUGCCACGUCAAGAUUCCCAAAUGCCACCUGUAUAUCAUCACUACCAAUCUAGAUAAUGAUAUUCAUAGAUAAGGCUCUCAUGUCAUAAGUCAUAACACUAUUAAUUCAUAUAUAAAUACCUUGAUUUGCCUCCUUAGAAAUCAACCCAAACAAACACAUUCCUUGCAAAUACACAUUCUUUCAUUUGAUAAUACAAUAAUGGCUGCCUCUUCAAUGGCU